AAUAGCGAGAAAAUUGCUAGGGAAAUAUUGCGAGGGAAUAGCGAGACAAUUGCUAGGGAAAUAUUGCGAGGGAAUAGAGAAGGGUCUGCGAGGGAUAUUCAGGGAGGGAAUUGCAAGGCCUUAGCUAAGAAAUGUAGCAAGGGAAUAGAGAGGGGUUUGUGAGGGAACAUUAGCGAGGGAUUAGCUACAAAUUAGAGAGGGAUAUUUUGCGACCCCUUAGCGAGGGAAUAACGGGGAAGCUUGAUCGCAAAUUAGCGAGCAAAUAGUAAGCGUCCUUAAUAUAAUUAGUGAGGACCUUAGCGAGGGAUUAGCGACAAAUUUUGCAAGGGAUUGGCGACGGAUUAAAUCCCUCGCUAAUUAGCUACCUGUAUUUAGCGAGGGAAUGGUCUCUCGCAAUUUCAUCACUAUUCCGUCGCAAAACUGAUUAGCGAGAGAUUAGAGAGGAAAUAGCGAGGGAAUAGUCCCUCGCUAAUAUGUAAUUUUCUUGUAGUGUAACAAAGUUCACAAAAAAAUGAUGGUGAAUUUGUCUCAACUAGGGCAAAGAAAUUUAUUGAAACAUAUGAAGAAUCAAUGACACAAAAAUAUGGAGAAGACACUUCAUCUCAUCCUGUAAUUGAUUCUGAUCUUUGGUUAAAAGUUGCAGGUGAAAACAAGAAGAAAAGAGUGCAUGGCAUGGGACAUAGCUUGGAUCUUGGAACUAGUAGCUCUACCCAAGCUUCAUCUCCAGAGGUUGCAGGUUCCUCUACAAAUCUUACGCCUAUGACAGAAGAACGGGUCACUGCAGUUAUAAAUAAUGCACUGGCCUCUUUUUUGCAAACACAAAUACUAGAGAUGAUGAGGCAAAUAAUUCAAGCAGUUCAACCACCAACAACACCAUCAACCAACUAACAUAGGGAAGAUCAAGGACGAGAUGAUGAUUUUACUAGCUUAGGUUGAUUACUAUUUAGGAUGACUCAUUAUUUGGCUUUUCUUUUUGUAAGACAUUAAUUAGUUUAGGUUUCUUUAAGAUAGUAUGCACAAGUUGGAUUUUGUAAGACAUUUAACAAUUUGGUUUUGUAAGAGAUAUUGUUACAUG